ACUAGUGAUUUCCGUAGGUGAACCUGCGGAAGGAUCAUUCGCACAAAGAAAUGUUCUAUUCCACCCGCCACGCACCACACAGUGCUUUCUGUUUUUAAAAAAGGAAAACAUUUUUUCCGUCUCGUCGAUGUUGCGAUCUCAUUGCAAUGUAUGCGAUGUUAUCUAUCUCUUGCGACGACGAAUGCCUUGGCUCGAGGAUCGUUGAAGGACGCAGCGAACUGUGCUAAACAUCUCGAAUUGCAGAUUUCCGAGAAAGAAAAGGAUUCUGAACGCAUUCUGCGAGUUGACCUCGUGUCAGCUCACGUGAUUGGCGGUGACCGAAAUAUGCAGUCGCUCGAACUCCGAAGUUUGAGUGGUUUUCACAUGUUGUCGCAGAUUCUUGCGCCGACGUGUUCGUGAGAUUCAGCGCGUCUCUCGUUUUCGAGCAGCAUUAAGAUUUCAAGUCUUGAUGUUCGAAUUCAUUGAUGUGUUUUGUUUUUUGAAAAGAUUUUUUUCUCGCACGCUCACGACCAGUCACGGGAUUACAGGGUGAAUUUAAGCAUAUCA
rnacentral:rRNA from 1 species